rnacentral:rRNA from 1 species
CGCACGAGAACGUUUCAGCUUGCUGAAACUAGUAAAGUGGCGAACGGGUGAGUAACGCGUGGGUAAUCUACCUCCGAAUUGGGGAUAACAUUGCGAAAGCGAUGCUAAUACCGAAUGACAUCUCAAUAACUCCGGUCUUUGAGAUCAAAGGUGGCCUCUCCAUGGAAGCUAUUGUUUGGAGAUGAGCCCGCGUACCAUUAGCUUGUUGGUAGGGUAAUGGCCUACCAAGGCGACGAUGGUUAGCUGGUCUGAGAGGAUGAUCAGCCACACUGGAACUGACACACGGUCCAGACUCCUACGGGAGGCAGCAGUGAGGAAUUUUGCGCAAUGGGGGAAACCCUGACGCAGCAACGCCGCGUGAGUGAUGAAGGCUCUCGGGUCGUAAAGCUCUGUCAAGUGAGAAGAACCUGCCCUUUGCUAAUAUCACUGGGCACUGACGGUAUCACUGAAGGAAGCACCGGCUAACUCCGUG